rnacentral:tRNA from 1 species
GCCGGUGUAGCUCAAUAGGUAGAGUUACGCAUUCGUAAUGCGUAGGUUAUAGGUUCAAUUCCUAUCACCGGCA